UUCAUAACUUUAAAAUAUUUGCUUUAUAUCCACACUAUAGUGCUGGAUAUUAAAAGAAAGCCCACCUGGUAUGCUUAUCUCCAAUUAAAAUCUUUCUUUGGCCUCACUUGCCCUUUGAAUAAAUUCUCAUUUAGAAAUAAAUUGCGUAACACGCUAAUUAGUACUCGAACUAUUUUUUUUGAAAAAGAAUGCAUGCAUCCUAUAGGAUAGCAUCUAUCUCUUAGUCUCGGCUUAUAGGGUUUUCCCUUAAAUCCUUACUCAGCUUCACUAUACUACAACAUUUAAUUAUUCGCUUUACUUAUCUUGGAGAAAUUCUAUUAUCUCUCAAAAAUAUGGAUUCUUAAAAUCCCUCCUUAAAUUCCUUCUUUUUCGGAUUUUUCUUAAGGUCGCCCAUGGCGUCGCGGGGCGACGCCGGUCAGCCCUUCGCAUCUUUCCUUAACACCUUUUCGUCUUUGGUAAAACCCAAAUUAUUCAGAAAUUAAUUAAUUAAGCUCCAAGCUUAAUUCCUUAAAUUAAUUUCAUUCCAACAAUAUUUAAAUUCUCAAGUCCGCUAAUUAUGUAGUCCGUUCCAAAAAUAAUCCCUUGGCCCAAAUAACAUAAAAACGCCACUUAAUUGUUAAAAUCGGCCCACUACAAGUUCUUUUUUCUAGUCCAAGAUACUUUAGCUUAUAAUUCACUGGCCCAAAUCACAUUAUUAAUUCAAGAGGCCCAAAUUAUAUUCCUCCACCUAUCGGUCAGCACCUUAUUCCCAUUUCACAAAAAUCCAAAUCCAGAAGAGGGUUUCUCUCCCCAAAAUCGAUCAAACCAAGCGGCUCCUCCUCCUUCGCCUCGACGCGUCGCCAUCCUCGGCGGCUCGGUCGGUCGGUUCCGCCGCGGUUCCUCCGGCGUCGGCUAUCUCUUCUCCCCGUUAUUCCUCUCACUAUCCCAAAAAUCUGGGGGAACUCGACUGAUACAGGGUUAGGCAUCGCCUUUUCCCUCUCCGUUGAAAUCGCCGUCUCGACGGGCAUUAGCCGCUUCACCUGUUGCUGGUGCCUAGCGGGGAGUUGUCCUCGCGCCGUACCGCCUCCGCCUCGCGCGAUGUUGCCUUGGGCAGCGUCGCCUUCCCGACGCUCCUCCGGCGAUUACGCUCGUUGCCGUCUCUUGUCCUCCGCCGAACCGAGGCUUUACCUGCGGCGAAGUCAGCGACAGAGAGGAGGCGUCGCCUCACUCACGCGCUCCAGCAACUGGCUCACCACCUCGCUCCAUGGAGGCCGCACGGUGGCCUUCGGGCUCCGUCCAUUUCCGUCGGGCAGCCUCUCGGUCGAGAAGCUAAGUCCUUCCCCCUUUCCCCGUUGUCUUAUUGACAUCGUUACUUGGUUACUAUGCUUGUUCUUGUUUUGAUGUAAGUUGGGCAGUAGCUAUGUGAAAAUAUGAUCUCGAUUGAUCUACUAGGUUACGGUAUCUAAUCGUUGGUGAUAUCUCUAUAUUUUCUAUGUUCUUGAUACUCGACUGGUUGCUCUAUAUGAUGCGAAGGGGGUUGUUGAGGGGGUUACCUUGAUUGAUGACUCUCGGUUUGUAGCUGUUCCCCUUGUCGCCGCCGCCUCACUCGUUCCCUUUGCGUGGUGAAGCUUGGUUGAUUUAAAUGGUGAGGGGAAUGGAGGUGGCGAGGGGCUGCUUAUAUAGCUCACACAAAUUGGCAUUUUGUGCCAGAUCCUUGGGGAAUUGUGAUGCUAUUCUGGGUUGUUUCUCAGCUCCUUUCCAAGCUUGUGCUACUGCUACUCUUACUAAAUUGAUAAAAGUUUGGGGCUGUAUUCUUUGGCAGUCUCUCCCCCAGCCUUGGUGACGGUAAAAGGGAUUUGAUUCCUCCUCAUUUGAGCAUGAACAGUGGCUCAUUCUCUCAUGCCCCUUUGACUUGGCUCCUAUUUUGGUGUAAGGUGGAAGUGUGACAAGAAAACUGUCUCUCUGCCCAAGGAGGCAACCUCUCGGCUGUUAGGGGCUGACCUUUUUGGAGUCUUUGGUGAGGAUGGGGAUCGAAAAAGAUCAAGGAAGAGAGGGGAAGGGAUUUGUCACAUCACUUACUUAUCUUAAUGCCAAGUUUAGCCAUUUGUUAGAGUAUUAGGUUUGGAGUAUCUUUUGACUAAGCUCUAGUUUAGUCACCAGUUGGUGUUGUCCCUCUCAAGACGUAAUGUAGGAUUACUUGUGGUUUUUGUCUUCAUUGUGCGGAAAACGAGGCAUGUACUAUUUGUAUUUAAUCUUCUCUAAUCAAUUUCUCACAAAUAUUUAUUCCA